GCCCCUGUAGCUCAGCGGAACCAGAGCACCGGACUACGAAUCCGGGUUGGCGGAAGUUCGAAUCUUUCCAGGGUACCA
rnacentral:tRNA from 1 species